rnacentral:rRNA from 1 species
GACGAACGCUGGCGGCGUGCCUAAUACAUGCAAGUGGGACGCAAGGAAACACACCGUGCUUGCACACCGUGUUUUCUUGAGUCGCGAACGGGUGAGUAACGCGUAGGUAACCUGCCUAUUAGCGGGGGAUAACUAUUGGAAACGAUAGCUAAUACCGCAUAAUAUUAAUUAUUGCAUGAUAAUUGAUUGAAAGAUGCAAGCGCAUCACUAGUAGAUGGACCUGCGUUGUAUUAGCUAGUUGGUAAGGUAAGAGCUUACCAAGGCGACGAUACAUAGCCGACCUGAGAGGGCGAUCGGCCACACUGGGACUGAGACACGGCCCAGACUCCUACGGGAGGCAGCAGUAGGGAAUCUUCGGCAAUGGACGAAAGUCCGACCGAGCAACGCCGCGUGAGUGAAGAAGGUUUUCGGAUCGUAAAGCUCUGUUGUAAGUCAAGAACGUGUGUGAGAGUGGAAAGUUCACACAGUGACGGUAG